UCUUUUCUAGUACUGAAUUUGCUGAGCAGUGUCAGUAAUAAUGCAUGGGGACGACGCACACUCAAAAUUUCUUUAGAAAUGUUUCUAGUUAAAACAUACUAUAUAUCUACCUGUGACUGCAUUCGCAAGGCCGGCCAGUUCUCCAGGAAUUCCCUCACCUGUGGACUUCCUUGAACAAUGUGUUGGCGGCGAAGGGAAAAGGUUGUGUGCAUGAGCUUUUCUAUCAGUAUCUGGUCUCUCUCAGUCUUUUCAGUCUCUUGUAUGAUUUGUGAUAUCUUUGUUUCUAGAAUUUUGUCCAGAAUGUCUGUAUGUUUAAAUAUUUUCUGAAUCAUGUCAAGAAUAGAAACAUGGACUGCUGUGUGUCCUGGCUCCAGCACAUACUCCACAGGCUUCACCACAGGGGUCAAAGGUGUCCAUGCUAUCACACUGAGCAAGUCCCUCCUCAGCAUUUUCACCAGAGCACACUAUGGCCACACCCCUGGAGGAUGUCGGAAAACAGGUGUGGCGAGGGGCAUUCUUCUUGGCUGAUUUCAUCCUCUCUGAUCCGAUCAUGUUCAGAGGAGCAACAGUUCUAGAGCUGGGAGCAGGAACAGGCUUAACCAGCAUCAUCUUGGCAACCAUAGCCAAAACAGUGUACUGCACAGUGGCUCAUUCUCUUCUGGAUUCUGGUGCUGGGGGCUUUGGUGAGGCUGGAAAGGCUCUGCCAGAGGAUUCAACAACCUAGGCUUUUGCUGCCUUCUACUGCUGGAUCUUAGAUGCCACUGGUAGGUACCACCAUAGUCGUCCUGUUGGGCUCCAGUUACUGCGGCUGUUUUCUCUGUUCACAAGUCUUAUUCUUAAGGGGUGCGCUGUAGCUGUUCUUUAGCUGACAAGUUAUGUCCACCUCUAGUGGUAAGUAUUCACAGGGAAGGAGGAGAUUUCUGUGAAUGACUUGAUUCCUUCCUUUACCAUUUUCUGGACUUCGUAGACUGGACUGUUAUCUUUCCAUUCUUUUACCUGGUGAACCUGGUCCUCCAAGUAGGAUCUUUCCUGUUCCUGUUUCCUGUAUAGGAGUAAAUGUGAAUGUGGGUCUCCCCCUUCUUAUCAUAUUCCCCAAGCUGAGACCUUAUUGGCGGUCUUUGAUGAAAUCUGAUAUGCAUCUACCAUUCACAUUUUCCAGUGGGCCAUGCAGUCCUGGUAAGUUUCGUUUGUUUUAAGGUUGAAUAGCAAAUCAACUGGUAGGCGAGUUGAUCGCCCAAAGGGAAGUAAUAUGGUGAGUAUCCCAUUGCAACAUUUCAUGUCCAGUUAUAUGCAUGGACAACUUUGGCUAGGAACUCUUUCUAAUUUACCUUCUUUUCAUCUGCUAGUGUGUGCAGCAUAGCUAGCAGAGUCUGGUUGAAUCGUUUAACCUACCAAUUCCCUUGAGGAUGGUAGGGCAUUGUGUGUGACCGACAGAUGCCUGAGAGAUCUUUCAGUCUUGAAAGUAGUUUGUUCUCAGAUUCCUUGCACAUAUCAUGCAGCAGCUUACUUGGGAAUCUUAUCAGCCACGGUGUUUGCAGACCUGUUUCUUGUGGUGUACACCUGUGCAAACAUGGUGAAAUGAUCAAUGGCCACUAGUAUGUAUUAAUAUCUAUGCUUGCACUUGUCCAAGUACAGAAAGUCAAUGGAUACUAUUUCAAAUAGGUAGGUGGUGUGGAUCGGCAUCAUUGGUGCUCUAGUCUGUUUGUUGGGUUUCUUUUUCUUCAGGCAUUCACACACAUUGGUAACAAAUUGUCCUUAGAUUUAGAGAAGAUUUUUAACCUCUGUUUUAUUAGCAUGGCAACUGCAGGAUGCUCACACUGAUGGCAUUAGCUGCCAUGUAAGGUGCCAAUUGCUCAUCACUUUUGGCAGCAUACGCAUUCACACACCGAUGGCACAACCUUCAGAAGCAACUUGGAGUCAUGCAGACUGGAUCAAACCACCAAUCAUCUGAUUAGUGGACGACCCGCUCUACCUCCGAGCCACAGCCGCUCAUGCUAAGAGUGUCCUGUUCUACUAACUCUUCACUAGGCAGGAUUGUAGUAUGAAGGAGAUGUUGCUGUUGUCAUGUGUCAUUUACUGUACUGGAGCCUGUGUCCCACAAGGCUUCCAUUGGAUACUUGUCUAAGUAACAGUUGACUGUGCAUCAUUUACCUAUCCAUUCAAUUUCAGUUGUUACUUGUGCUGGGGUGGAAGGUAUUUGACACUGUUGAGGUUCAAAGGAGCAUCAUUAGUGAUCUUCUCAGUCAAUGAGCUGUCUGGGUAGAUUGGCUGUCUUGUGUUACUCUUAUCGGUUUUGCUACUGAUGGACUGUUGCGAAAGUGGGUAGGACUGCUUCUGAGGCACCACUGAGUGUCCUGCCUCAGCAUUCCUUGUCCAUUUCCUGACUAACUGUUCUGUGCUCUGCACCCACAAAAGAAGUGGCCCCCCAAUCCACAUUUGAAGCAGUGCUGAAAGCUGUCCCCUUUCUGUUCUUCUCGACACUUGGGGCAGCCUCUAUCAUGACAUUUCAGCUUUCAUUGGGGCAAGAAAUAUCUGUUUAAUUUCAGUUCUGAGCUAUCUGGUUAUUUGAUUUUCCAUUUUGACAUCUCAGGUCUGUGGUACUGUCUACUUUAUAGUGGCUUUUUUAAGAUGGUAAACAGAAGCAUUCAGAUUUAAUGUAUCUUACACUUAGAAACUGUAACAUGCACUAACUACUCAAUUGUAUUACUGUUUUUACUGUAGUCAGCUUACCUGUAUAAAUAAUAUAAAUAUUAAAAUGCAGUUCAGUUCACUACAGGAAUGCUCUCUGCACUUGUAUAUAACACACUCCUCACUUAAAUCAAAUCAAAUCAAAUCAAUUUUAUUUGU